AUACGUAGGGAGCGAGCGUUGUCCGGAAUUACUGGGCGUAAAGGGCGCGUAGGCGGCGCUUCAAGUCGUCUGUCAAAUGGGAGGGCUUCACCCUUUUUCGCAGACGAAACUGGAGAGCUUGAGAAGCAGAGAGGCAAACAGAAUUCCUGGUGUAGCGGGGAAAUGCGUAGAUAUCAGGAAGAAUACCAGUGGCGAAGGCGGUUUGCUGGCUGCAUACUGACGCUGAAGCGCGAAAGCCAGGGGAGCAAACGGGAUUAGAUACCCCGGUAGUCCUGGCAGUAAACGAUGUAUGCUGGGUGUGAGACUAGCGAUAGUUUCGUGCCGAAGUUAACGCGAUAAGCAUACCGCCUGGGGAGUACGGUCGCAAGAUUGAAACUCAAAUGAAUUGGCGGGG
rnacentral:rRNA from 1 species